rnacentral:rRNA from 1 species
AUACGUAGGUGGCGAACGUUAUCCGGAAUCACUGGGCGUAAAGGGUCCGCAGGUGGCAUGUCAAGUCGAUUGUGAGAGCUCCCGGCUCAACUGGGAGAGGACGGUCGAAACUGGCAAACUAGAGUCCGACAGAGGUCGGCGGAAUUCCCGGUGUAGUGGUGGAAUGCGUAGAUAUCGGGAGGAACGCCAAAAGCGAAAGCAGCCGGCUGGGUCGAGACUGACACUGAGGGACGAAAGCGUGGGGAGCGAACAGGAUUAGAUACCCUGGUAGUCCACGCCGUAAACGAUGUGUGCUAGCUGUGCGUUGCGUAGUGCAAUGCGUGGCUGAGCCAACGCGAUAAGCACACCGCCUGGGGAGUACGGCCGCAAGGCUAAA